CGAAGGUAAAAACACGACCCCGUUGGGUAGUCGGGGUGCGGCGCGGUUUGGCGCGCUGUCAGUAACCUGCCUCCUUGGUUGUCCCUCCUUCA
rnacentral:ncRNA from 1 species